GCACUGCUGAGGAGUCCCAUACCAGGGCGAAACGGACGUCCAGUGC
rnacentral:hammerhead_ribozyme from 2 species